rnacentral:rRNA from 1 species
GAUGGCGACCGGCGCACGGGUGAGUAACACGUAUCCAACCUGCCGAUGACUCGGGGAUAGCCUUUCGAAAGAAAGAUUAAUACCCGAUGGCAUAGUUCUUCCGCAUGGUGGAACUAUUAAAGAAUUUCGGUCAUCGAUGGGGAUGCGUUCCAUUAGGUUGUUGGCGGGUAACGGCCCACCAAGCCUUCGAUGGAUAGGGGUUCUGAGAGGAAGGUCCCCCACAUUGGAACUGAGACACGGUCCAAACUCCUACGGGAGGCAGCAUG